AGGCAGGCGGAUCUCUGUGAGUUCGAGGCCAGCCUGGUCUACAGAGUGAGUUCCAGGACAGCCUCCAAAACCACAGAGAAACCCUGUCUCGAAAA
ensembl:miRNA